GCAGCAGUCGGGAAUUUUGGGCAAUGGGGGAAACCCUGACCCAGCAACGCCGCGUGAAGGAUGAAGUAUUUCGGUAUGUAAACUUCGAAAGAAUAGGAAGAAUUAAUGACGGUACUAUUUAUAAGGUCCGGCUAACUACGUGCCAGCAGCCGCGGUAAUACGUAGGGACCAAGCGUUGUUCGGAUUUACUGGGCGUAAAGGGCGCGUAGGCGGCGCGGUAAGUCACUUGUGAAAUCUCUGAGCUUAACUCAGAACGGCCAAGUGAUACUGCAGUGCUAGAGUGUGGAAGGGGCAAUCGGAAUUCUUGGUGUAGCGGUGAAAUGCGUAGAUAUCAAGAGGAACACCUGAGGUGAAGACGGGUUGCUGGGCCAACACUGACGCUGAGGCGCGAAAGCCAGGGGAGCAAACGGGAUUAGAUAC
rnacentral:rRNA from 1 species